GACGAACGCUGGCGGCGUGCUUAACACAUGCAAGUCGAACGGAAAGGCCCUGCUUUUGUGGGGUGCUCGAGUGGCGAACGGGUGAGUAACACGUGAGUAACCUGCCCUUGACUUUGGGAUAACUUCAGGAAACUGGGGCUAAUACCGGAUAGGAGCUCCUGCUGCAUGGUGGGGGUUGGAAAGUUUCGGCGGUUGGGGAUGGACUCGCGGCUUAUCAGCUUGUUGGUGGGGUAGUGGCUUACCAAGGCUUUGACGGGUAGCCGGCCUGAGAGGGUGACCGACCACAUUGGGGCUGAGAUACGGCCCAGACUCCUACGGGAGGCAGCAGUGGGGAAUAUUGCACAAUGGGCGGAAGCCUGAUGCAGCAACGCCGCGUGCGGGAUGACGGCCUUCGGGUUGUAAACCGCUUUCGCCUGUGACGAAGCGUGAGUGACGGUAAUGGGUAAAGAAGCACCGGCUAACUACGUG
rnacentral:rRNA from 1 species